rnacentral:misc_RNA from 1 species
AAAGUCGUAACAAGGUUUCCGUAGGUGAACCUGCGGAAGGAUCAUUAUUGAAUAUGCUUGAUAGGUUGUAGCUGGCUCUUCGGAGUAUGUGCACGCUUAUCUUGACUUAAUUCAUCCACCUGUGCACCUUUUGUAGUCUUGGGGGUUGAGAUCGGUCGACUAUCGGAUGGCCAAGGUCAUUCCGGAUGUGAGGAAUGCUGAGUGCGAAAGCAUACAGCUCUUCUCAAAUGACUUGUCUUCCUCGAGUACUAUGUAUUCAUAUACCACAUAGUAUGUUGUAGAAUGUGAUCAAUGGGUCUAUGUACCUAUAAUAAUCAUAUACAACUUUCAGCAACGGAUCUCUUGGCUCUC